GGGCUCGCAGAGGGCAGAGCAGCUCUGGCACAGGCUAUGGGCAGUGAGAAGCCUCUUGCGUGUUUAGGGAGACUGGGCACUUCUGGUGCAGGCUACUGGUGGUAGGCACAUCUCGAUUGGGCCAAGGCCAUCGGGGGGCUAAGUGCCACAUGGUGCCUCUUGCACAAUCUACAGAUGACAGGGACAGACCGCAACGGUCCUCUCAGAGGCCAUAGGGAGGUAUGGCUUGCCACCAUUGGGGGCCUGUGAGUGGGCCCCACCUGUGACCCCAGUCACCUCAGGGGUUGACACAAAAGAAAAGAAGAGGGCACUGCAACCAAUCACCAUACGCAGGUGCUCUCACUCCCCUGGGAGCACACUCGCCCUGCUGCUGCCACUGCCAAACACUCUGGGCAGUGCCCGGAUGCUUCAUCACUGUCCCUUCCCAGGAACCUGCAACUAGGAGCAGCUUAUGCAGCACCUCCUCUGGGAGUUAAACAGGACAAGGUGCUUCUGCCAUGGUCUACAGGAGGUGGGGGCAAACCACCCCAGGUUGGAUCCAGAGGUGGGAGUGGCUUGCCACCACUGGGGUCCAUGAACACAUACCACUUGCAGCCCAUUCACCUCGAGGGCACCACGGAGGAGAGCACUGUGACCGAGCACCACCUGCUGGUGCUCUCACUCCCUGGGAACACACCUGCCCUCCUGCUGCCACUGCUGAAUGCCACAGGCAGUACCCACACGCCUGAUCUCUGUCACUUCCCAGGAUCCUAUAACUAGGAGCAGCCUGUACAGCACCUCCUAUGUGGGCUAAGUGAGACGGGUUGCUUCAUGCACCAUCUACAGGUGGCAGGGCAAACCACCACAGUUAUCACUGACUCCAGAGAUGGUCAUGGCCCGCUCCCACUAGGGGUCCCUGAACAGGCACCACCUGCGGUUCUCGUCACCUCAGAGGAGGGCAUUGCAAUCAAACACAAGGUGUUGUUGCUCUCGCUCCCCUGGGAACUCACGCACCCUGCUGCUGCCACUGCCGAAUGCUCUGGUCACCUUGUAGAUCUGCCUAGAGCUCAUCGCCACUUCCCAGGGCCCUGCAACUAGCAGUGGCCUGUGCCACCUUCCUGCAGGUCCUUGCUGCUGGUGAGAGCCCAGCAACCAGGCACAAACCACUGGCCCUACCCACUGCCUCCUUCUCCCUGAAAACACACUGAGUAUUCUGGGAAAUGCUGCCCACUCCAAAGAAAGAGACAGCAAAUAAUCAAACUCCUAUGCCAAAAAUAAAGAGUAACACCCCUCCCCCCAAAUAUACAGGGGUGAUCUUGCUUAGAAGUAGCCUUACAAGACCACAGUUUGGCUUCCCCAAACUCACAGAAAAAGAAAAGCAUAAGCAAGAUGAAGAAGCUCAGAAACCAUUCCCAGCUAAAGGAACAGAAGGAGUCACCUAAAGCCAUCAACAAUGAAAGAGACCUCUGCAGUCUGACAGACACUGAGUUCAAAAGGGAGACAGUGAAAAUCCUGAAGGAAUUAAGGCUGAAUAUCAAGGAAUUAAGAGAAGACACAAACAGGAAUGCAGACUCCCUUAGAAAGGAACUAGAAAAUGUAAGGAGGAGUCAAGGAAACCUAGAAAACUCAUUUGCAGAGAUGCAAACUGAGUUAAAGGCAAUAAAGACCAGAAUGAAUAAUGCAGAGGAACGAAUUAGUGACUGACGUGGAAGACAGAAUAACGGAAAUCACCCAAUCAGGACAGCAGACAGAAACCCAAAUGAAUAAACAUGAAAGCAAUAUAAGACACCUAUGGGAUCAUAUAAAGUGGGCCAAACUACGCAGAAUAGGAAUUCCAAAAGGAGAAGGAAAAGAAAAAGGGAUGGAAAAUAUAUUUGAAGAAAUCACGUCUGAAAACGUUCCAAAUCUGAAGGAUACUGAUAUCAAGAUGCAGGAAGCACAGAAGGCCCCAAACAGGUUGAACCCAAACAGGCCCACACCAAGACAUAAUAAAAAUGGCAAAAGUUAAAGAGAGGAUUCUAAAGGCAGCAAGAGAAAAGCAAAGCAUUAAAUAUAAGGGAACCCCCAUAAGGCUGUCAGCUAAUUUCACUACAGAAACACUACAGGCCAGAAGGGAGUGGCGAGAUAUAUUUAAGGUGCUCAAAGGAAAAAAUUUGCAACCUAGACUAUUCUAACUAGAAAGAAUAUCAUUUAAAAUAGAAGGGGGAAAUAAAGAAUUUCUCCAACAACAAAAGCUAAAGAGUACAGCAAUACUAAACCCAUUCUGAAACAAAUACUGAAAGGGCUUCUCUAAAUUUAAAAAAAAAAAGAGAGAGAGAGAGAGAGAAAAGAAAAAAAGAAGAAUUAGGAUGGAGGAAACCACAGCUGGAAAGCGAUCACUUAAAUAAGCCAGCACACAGGUCUAAACAUGAAGAUGUUCACA
rnacentral:lncRNA from 1 species